UACGGGGGGGCGAAGCGUUGUUCGGAAUUACUGGGCGUAAAGGGCUCGUAGGUGGCCAACUAAGUCAGACGUGAAAUCCCGUCGGCUUAACCGGGGAACUGCGUCUGAUACUGGAUGGCUUGAGUUUGGGAGAGGGAUGCGGAAUUCCAGGUGUAGCGGUGAAAUGCGUAGAUAUCUGGAGGAACACCGGUGGCGAAGGCGGCAUCCUGGACCAACACUGACACUGAGGAGCGAAAGCCAGGGGAGCGAAACGGG
rnacentral:rRNA from 1 species